ACAAGUGACGAGGCUAAGCUCCAGUUUCCUCCAGUUGUAAAAUGGGGGUGUGUCAGCUGCCUUCCUAGUAUGGGUGUGUUUAACCGGGCCGUGCGGUGAGACUGGCGCCCAAUGAAUCCUGAACUGACCAACGGUGAUACUCCAGAUGGAGAACAUGAGUUCAAGCCCAAAUGAUGACCCAAGACCCCGGACACCGCCAUUGGCCCCGGCACUCCUGCCGGGCACUGCGCCCACACUCAUUAUCUGCUGCAGCAGCGAACUGCCCCACUCACUGUACCUGUUUUUGAGAAGAUGAGCUGCAGAAUGAGAGGCCGCCGGGUGACGAUUCCUGAACCUCGGGGAAGGAAGUCCCUGUGGGAGGGGAAAAGGACAGAAAUUACUCAGCGGCUGGCUCGCGGGGCAGGAAGUGUGACCACACGUGUGAAGCAAUCCCGUCUUGCGACUGAGGCAACCUCAGCAAAGAUACCAAGAUCCCAGCCAGAUCUUGGAGGGUCCUGAGGCCACCGGGGGCAGAAGAGGGACUGGAAUGAAGGUUGGUGGUGAAUGGAACCGUUUCCCUCUGGCUGGCCGUGCUCCAGCCCCAGCAUGCCCCCAGAGCCCUUUCGCUGACAGAUAUUUGAACAAUAUCUCCUGCACCCCAAAGAAAUGAGUUCAUUUCCUACAUACAUGUUUUAAAUUAAUUUAAUGCCUUAUGUAUGAUACGAAGACUAAAUAAAAGGAAAGUAGUUGAUGACAAAAUACAUGUUUCAUGUCCCAAAAAGACAAAUCGAUGCAGGCAGGAAGUGAGUGGAUCAAUGGCUGCCCAAGGGGUGGGACAUGAGGAGGGAGCUUUCUGGAAAUGUCCUAAAACCUGACUGUGGUGAUGCUAAUAUUUACU